rnacentral:rRNA from 1 species
CUACGGGGGGCAGCAGUGGGGAAUAUUGGACAAUGGGGGAAACCCUGAUCCAGCAAUGCCGCGUGUGAAGAAGGCCUGCGGGUUGUAAAGCACUUUCGGUUGGGAGGACUGCUUCUAGCACUAAUAUUGUUGGAAGUUGACGUUACCUUCAGAAGAAGCACCGGCUAACUCCGUGCCAGCAGCCGCGGUAAUACGGAGGUUGCAAGCGUUAAUCGGAAUUACUGGGCGUAAAGCGCGCGUAGGCGGCUAGAUCAGUCGGGUGUGAAAGCCCCGGGCUUAACCUGGGAACUGCAUCCGAUACUGUCUAGCUUGAGUACAGGAGAGGAGAGUGGAAUUCCACAUGUAGCGGUGAAAUGCGUAGAUAUGUGGAGGAACACCAAUGGCGAAGGCAGCUCUCUGGCCUGAUACUGACGCUGAGGUGCGAAAGCGUGGGGAGCAAACAGGAUUAGAUACCCCGGUAGUC